rnacentral:lncRNA from 1 species
AUGAGAGCACGUGGGAGAGAGCUGCUGCCUUGUAGCCAUCAAGCCAGUGAAGGUUUCCUGCAUCCUUGUCAUGGACUGCGUCAAUCCCUCAGGGAGACAGGCUUUGGAGGAAAGCGGCCCCUCCAGAGCCGCAAGUCAAGUCCAGGCAGCCAUUCGAGACAUCCCGCCCAUUACCUGAAAAGCCGUGAUCUUACACUUCAUGUGCGUCAGGGCCCCCUAGAGAACACGUUCAAUUGGAUUGCUUCCCCUACCCUGAUCCACCCCAGAAUUUCUGGGUUAAUGCAUGUGGCGGGGGGCAGAAGGGGAGGGUGCUGAGAUUUUGCAUUUUAGCGAAUUCCCAAUUGCUGCUGCUGAGAAUCUCAGAAGCUUUCCUGUAAAUUGGGAAAUGAAUGUUUUCAUGCCCUCUGAUCGAAAGUGCCCACACUACUCAGAAGUGUAACUUGAGACCCGUUACUCACUCAAGCACAUAAAUCCCUUAUCAGCAUUAGACGGCUGUCCAAGCCGAGGGCACCUGGGAUGCUGACCCCAUCUGGGACUCUUUGGCCCUGUCCCCAAGAACUACUUCCCAGUCACCCCCACAAUCAGACUGUCAUCUCCUACAACUGCUCUACCUCUGGUUUCCCCUCACAUUUCAGUCCCAAACAACCUCAAAUCAGGCCCUCCCAUGGGAAUGGGUUAAAGGAAGUGCGUGGGAAGGGUGUGAAUGAUUGUAGGGGGUUCCCUCCCUGUCACUAGUGGUGGGUUUUGUAAACCAGCUUCUAAGAGCAAAUUCAGAAGCAAUAAGCAAGUGGUUUUGUUCUAAGGUUGAUAAGCCUGCACGACAUGACAAGUGAGGGCUGCGGAGGACUGUCCUGCCGCUGGAUUGGGUCAGGUUUCCCAAGGCCAGUGUCAGGCACGUGUCUUAUGCUGCAUCUCAGCAACCUAGGAGGAGUGCCUCCAGAAACCGUGGCUCUAUCAGGAUGAAGACUUCAGUGUCCAAGGUGCACAUGGAGAGUGGGAAUAAAGUUGUUACUUGAAAUGUGAGAUGGGAAAAA